GGCGACUCUGGAUGUGGGUCAGCCAGACUUGGAGUAACUCUGGCUGAGAGCUGAUCUACACACAGGUCACACACAGAUCUGUUUGUGGUAGUGGAGAAGCUGGGAUCAGCUCAUAGAGGACUCCUGUUGUGGAAGACCCAGGAGUGUAGUAGGUUUUACUUUUUAAGGAGUAACCCAUUAAAAAUGAAAACAAGAAGGGGCCUUUGAUCUGCGCUUGGAGCCCUAGAGAACCACAACCAAAAAUGGAAUUAAAAUUCCAUAGUCGGAAGAGAGAAGAAAGAAUCAGUGCAUAAGUGACCCUCAAAUUUAACACCUAAGUUGAAGAAUGUUAAGCUGUUUUUGCCUUCAGUGUUUUUCUAUCUUAACUGAAGAAUUAAAAUGGACUGGGCAAGAAUUCCACAUAUACUCCAGAAACCGCCCAUAAAAGAAAAAAGAGCUUUUCAUCAUUUGGGAAAGUAUUUCCUUGAUGGGUUUGUAUUCAUCAAUAAACUAUAUCUUGCUUCAAAACAUGAA